CCAGAGGGGUCCGGCACCUUGUCCGCGGGGUCCCGGCGCCCGCCCGCCCAGCACCGACAAACCCCGGCGGCGGGGGGGGCACCGACCGACCCCGCGAGCCCGGCGCGCCGGCCCCCGCGGGCUUGUGUGUCUCCCCGAGAAGGGAGAGAGUCCCCGCGGGCAGGGCUGGCCGGCCGUCCCUCCCCGCUGGCUUCGGGGCGUCCCUGCCCCGCUGUUCCCGGCGGGGUCCCGCUGUGCCCCGCUCCUCUCCGGGGGGUCCCGCUGUCGCCCCGCUCCAGCGCUCAGGACAACACGAAGCCGGAGCGGGCAGAGCCCCCGGCCGUCCCCGCUGUCCCUCCUCACGUUCCCCGCCCAGCCGAGGGUCCGUCAGCUCCCGGCUCUGCCGCAGCCCGGGUUCCCCAUCCGACCCGCUCAUUCCCGGAUCACCGGCGCCGGGACGGGUCCCUGUUCGCGGGAGGAGUCCCCCCGCGCUGCCUGACCCGUCCCCCCGUGUCCUGCCCCAGGGCUGUUUGUGCUGGAGCACCACAGCCUGCCCCACGCCAGGUCGGCUUUCCUGACCCCGGAGCAGCUGGGAGGGAUCCAGUUCGACCUGCAGCUGCUGUGGAGCGCUCAGACCUUCGACUCGCCCUCCCAGCUCUGGAGAGCGACCAGCUCCUACAACAGGUUCUUGAUCCCCAUCGCCUUCCAGCAGACAAACCGCCCCGGUUCCUGUCGUCUGCUCCCUGAACACGGAGUUCCAGCUCUGCAACAACGAGAAGGUGUUUCUGAUGGAUGCCACCAAACCCGGAAUGUCCCUGGCAGAAAUGGAUUACAAAGGGGCUUUUUCAAAGGGGCAAAUCCUUUACGGCCGCGUGCUCUGGAACCCCGGACAGAACCUGAACGCCGCCUACGAGCUGCAGCUGGAAAAGGUCUAUCUGUGCACGGGCAAGGACGGGCACGUGCCUUUCUUCGACCCGACCGGCACCGUCUAUAACGAGGGGCCCCGGUACGGCUGCAUCCAGCCCAACAAGCACCUGAAGCACCGAUUCCUGCUCUUGGUAAGCGUUCCGCUGCCCACAGAACCACCGUGUCGAGCGUUGCGAGGCUCUGGCAGGAUUUUAUAUCCCGAUUUCCCCAGACGGGCCGUAUUUGUCCCCCAGUGGACUGUGUCUGUUGUACCGUAAAUGAACAGCGGAGCCAGGUACCAAACAAACUCUAGCACGGGAAAGAGAGGUGAGGAAUUUAUUGUGGUGAUGA